UAACGCGAAGAACCUUACCAAGGCUUGACAUCGCCGGAAAACUCGCAGAGAUGCGGGGUCCUUUUGGGCCGGUGACAGGUGGUGCAUGGCUGUCGUCAGCUCGUGUCGUGAGAUGUUGGGUUAAGUCCCGCAACGAGCGCAACCCUCGUUCCAUGUUGCCAGCAACCUCUUCGGAGGGUUGGGGACUCAUGGGAGACUGCCGGGGUCAACUCGGAGGAAGGUGGGGAUGACGUCAAGUCAUCAUGCCCCUUAUGUCUUGGGCUGCAAACAUGCUACAAUGGCCGGUACAGAGGGCUGCGAUACCGUAAGGUGGAGCGAAUCCCUUAAAGCCGGUCUCAGUUCGGAUUGGGGUCUGCAACUCGACCCCAUGAAGUCGGAGUCGCUAGUAAUCGCAGAUCAGCAACGCUGCGGUGAAUACGUUCCCGGGUCUUGUACACACCGA
rnacentral:rRNA from 1 species